UACGGGGGGGGCAAGCGUUGUUCGGAAUUACUGGGCGUAAAGGGCCCGUAGGCGGCCAACUAAGUCAGACGUGAAAUCCCUCGGCUUAACCGGGGAACUGCGUCUGAUACUGGAUGGCUUGAGGUUGGGAGAGGGAUGCGGAAUUCCAGGUGUAGCGGUGAAAUGCGUAGAUAUCUGGAGGAACACCGGUGGCGAAGGCGGCAUCCUGGACCGGCAUUGACGCUGAGGCGCGAAAGCCAGGGGAGCAAACGGG
rnacentral:rRNA from 1 species